GACGAACGCUGGCGGCGUGCUUAACACAUGCAAGUCGAACGGAAAGGCCCUGCUUUUGUGGGGUGCUCGAGUGGCGAACGGGUGAGUAACACGUGAGUAACCUGCCCUUGACUUUGGAAUAACUUCAGGAAACUGGGGCUAAUACCGGAUAGGAGCUCCUGCUGCAUGGUGGGGGUUGGAAAGUUUCGGCGGUUGGGGAUGGACUCGCGGCUUAUCAGCUUGUUGGUGGGGUAGUGGCUUACCAAGGCUUUGACGGGUAGCCGGCCUGAGAGGGUGACCGGCCACAUUGGGACUGAGAUACGGCCCAGACUCCUACGGGAGGCAGCAGUGGGGAAUAUUGCACAAUGGGCGGAAGCCUGAUGCAGCAACGCCGCGUGCGGGAUGACGGCCUUCGGGUUGUAAACCGCUUUCGCCUGUGACGAAGCGUGAGUGACGGUAAUGGGUAAAGAAGCACCGGCUAACUACGUGCCAGCAGCCGCGGUGAUACGUAGGGUGCGAGCGUUGUCCGGAUUUAUUGGGCGUAAAGGGCUCGUAGGUGGUUGAUCGCGUCGGAAGUGUAAUCUUGGGGCUUAACCCUGAGCGUGCUUUCGAUACGGGUUGACUUGAGGAAGGUAGGGGAGAAUGGAAUUCCUGGUGGAGCGGUGGAAUGCGCAGAUAUCAGGAGGAACACCAGUGGCGAAGGCGGUUCUCUGGGCCUUUCCUGACGCUGAGGAGCGAAAGCGUGGGGAGCGAACAGGCUUAGAUACCCUGGUAGUCCACGCUGUAAACGGUGGGUACUAGGUGUGGGGUCCAUUCCACGGGUUCCGUGCCGUAGCUAACGCUUUAAGUACCCCGCCUGGGGAGUACGGCCGCAAGGCUAAAACUCAAAGGAAUUGACGGGGCCCCGCACAAGCGGCGGAGCAUGCGGAUUAAUUCGAUGCAACGCGUAGAACCUUACCUGGGUUUGACAUGGAUCGGGAGCGCUCAGAGAUGGGUGUGCCUCUUUUGGGGUCGGUUCACAGGUGGUGCAUGGCUGUCGUCAGCUCGUGUCGUGAGAUGUUGGGUUAAGUCCCGCAACGAGCGCAACCCUUGUUCACUGUUGCCAGCACGUUAUGGUGGGGACUCAGUGGAGACCGCCGGGGUCAACUCGGAGGAAGGUGGGGAUGACGUCAAGUCAUCAUGCCCCUUAUGUCCAGGGCUUCACGCAUGCUACAAUGGCUGGUACAGAGAGUGGCGAGCCUGUGAGGGUGAGCGAAUCUCGGAAAGCCGGUCUCAGUUCGGAUUGGGGUCUGCAACUCGACCUCAUGAAGUCGGAGUCGCUAGUAAUCGCAGAUCAGCAACGCUGCGGUGAAUACGUUCCCGGGGCU
rnacentral:rRNA from 1 species